UCAACUAUUUUAUGUGACUUUUGGUUGAAAUACUCUGCGUUGACCUUUGAAAAAUCACAUUUUUUUUGGAAAUUAACCCGCGAUGACGAGGUGUAUCGUUUUGUCUGACAGCGUGAGGUUUAAGAACUUCAUUUCUAAUUUUGUCUUGUGGCAUAUUAGAAAUGAUGUUUCUUCGAAAAUCGUGCGCUUACAACAGAUAAAACGACUUCUGAGUAGU